rnacentral:rRNA from 1 species
GACGAACGCUGGCGGCGUGCCUAAUACAUGCAAGUCGAACGCAGUGGGGCCGGGUGAGUAACACGUGGGUAACCUCCCAUCAGAGGGGAUACCACUUGGAAACAGGUGCUCUACCGAUACUGAUGGAUGGACCCGCGGUGCAUUAGCUAGUUGGGGAGGUAACGGCGCACCAAGGCCACGAUGCAUCGCCGGCCGGAGAGGGUGAGCGGCCAAACUGGGACUGAGACACGGCCCAGACUCCGACGGGAGGCAGCAGUAGGGAAUCUUGGGCAAUGGGCGAAAGUCUGACCGAGCAACGCCGCGUGAGUGAAGAAGGUUUUCGGAUCGUAAAGCUCUGUUGUUAGAGAAGCGGUAUCUAAAGAGAAAGCAACGGCUAACUACGUGCCAGCAGCCGCGGUAAUAC